rnacentral:rRNA from 1 species
UACAGAGGUCCCAAGCGUUGUUCGGAUUCAUUGGGCGUAAAGGGUGCGUAGGUGGCGCUGUAAGUCGGGUGUGAAAUUUCGGAGCUUAACUCCGAAACUGCAUUCGAUACUGCGGUGCUUGAGGACUGGAGAGGAGACUGGAACUCAUGGUGUAGCAGUGAAAUGCGUAGAGAUCAUGAGGAAGACCAGUGGCGAAGGCGGGUCUCUGGACAGUUCCUGACACUGAGGCACGAAGGCCAGGGGAGCAAACGGG